rnacentral:rRNA from 1 species
GUCGGGAAUUUUGGGCAAUGGGCGAAAGCCUGACCCAGCGACGCCGCGUGAGGGAUGAAGGCCUUCGGGUCGUAAACCUCUGUCGGAAGGGGCGAAAGGUUCUUGGGCGAAUAGGCCAAGGGCUUGACGGUACCUUCAAAGGAAGCGCCGGCUAACUCCGUGCCAGCAGCCGCGGUAAUACGGAGGGCGCAAGCGUUGUUCGGAAUUACUGGGCGUAAAGCGCGUGUAGGCGGCCUGACAAGUCGGGUGUGAAAUCCCGGAGCUCAACUCCGGAACUGCAUCCGAUACUGUCAGGCUCGAGUCUCGGAGAGGAUGGCGGAAUUUCCGGUGUAGAGGUGAAAUUCGUAGAUAUCGGAAGGAACACCAGUGGCGAAGGCGGCCGUCUGGACGAUGACUGACGCUGAGACGCGAAAGCGUGGGGAGCAAACAGGAUUAGAAACCCGGGUAGUCC